GACAGGGGGUGCAAACGUUGCUCGGAAUUACUGGGCGUAAAGCGCGUGUAGGCGGCUCUGCAAGUCAGGUGUGAAAUCCCUCGGCUCAACCAAGGAAGUGCAUCCGAAACUGCUGAGCUUGAGUACGAAAGAGGAUCGCGGAAUUCCCGGUGUAGAGGUGAAAUUCGUAGAUAUCGGGAGGAACACCAGUGGCGAAGGCGGCGAUCUGGGUCGAUACUGACGCUGAGGUGCGAAAGCGUGGGGAGCAAACAGG
rnacentral:rRNA from 1 species